UACGUAGGGUGCGAGCGUUAAUCGGAAUUACUGGGCGUAAAGUGUGCGCAGGCGGCCGAGCAAGUCGAGUGUGAAAGCCCCGAGCUUAACUUGGGAACUGCGCUCGAAACUACAUGGCUAGAGCAUUGGAGAGGGUAGCGGAAUUCACGGUGUAGCAGUGAAAUGCGUAGAUAUCGUGAGGAACACCAGAGGCGAAGGCGGCUACCUGGACAAUUGCUGACGCUCAGGCACGAAAGCGUGGGGAGCAAAAGGG
rnacentral:rRNA from 1 species